CGGUGGAUCAUGUUGUUUAAUUCGAUGAUACGCGAAGAACCUUACCAGGUCUUGACAUCCCCCGCGAUGCUUUAGAGAUAAAGCGGAGGUAUUCGGGGAGACAGGUGGUGCAUGGUUGUCGUCAGCUCGUGUCGUGAGAUCGUUGGGUUAAGUCCCGCAACGAGCGCAACCCCUAUUGCUAGUUACCAUCAUUAAGUUGGGGACUCUAGCGAGACUGCCAGUGAUAAACUGGAGGAAGGUGGGGAUGACGUCAAAUCAUCAUGCCCCUUAUGACCUGGGCUACAAACGUGAUACAAUGGCUGGAACAAAGGGAUGCGAAGCAGUGAUGUGGAGCGAAACCCAUAAAACCAGUCUCAGUUCGGAUUGAAGUCUGCAACUCGACUUCAUGAAGUCGGAAUCGCUAGUAAUCGCGGAUCAGAACGCCGCGGUGAAUACGUUCUCGGGUUU
rnacentral:rRNA from 1 species